AGAGUUUGAUCCUGGCUCAGGACGAACGCUGACGGUGUGCUUUAGGCAUGCAAGUCGAACGAGAAAGCCCUUCGGGGUGAGUAGAGUGGCGAACGGGUGAGUAACACGUGGGCAACCUGCCCCUCGCAGGGGGACAACCGGAGGAAACUCCGGCUAAUACCCCGUACGCUUGUUGGAUCGCAUGGUCCGGCAAGGAAAGGUAGCUUCGGCCGUCUGGCGAGGGAUGGGCCCGCGUUGCAUUAGCUAGUUGGUGGGGUAACGGCCUACCAAGGCGACGAUGCGUAGCUGGUCUGAGAGGAUGAUCAGCCACACUGGGACUGAGACACGGCCCAGACUCCUACGGGAGGCAGCAGCCAGGAAUCUUGGGCAAUGGGCGAAAGCCUGACCCAGCAACACCGUGUGGGCGAUGAAGGCCUUAGGGUCGUAAAGCCCUGUUGAUAGGGACGAAGGGCGAAGGGUUAAUAGCCCCUAGCUUGACGGUACCUUUCGAGGAAGCCCCGGCUAACUACGUGCCAGCAGCCGCGGUAAUACGUAGGGGGCGAGCGUUGUCCGGAAUUAUUGGGCGUAAAGAGCGUGUAGGCGGUUCGGUAAGUCUGCUGUGAAAUCCUGGGGCUCAACCCUGGGCGUGCAGCGGAUACUGCCGGGCUAGAGGGUGGUAGAGGCGAGUGGAAUUCCGAGUGUAGCGGUGAAAUGCGCAGGUAUUCGGAGGAACACCAGUAGCGAAGGCGGCUCGCUGGGCCACACCUGACGCUGAGACGCGAAAGCGUGGGGAGCGAACAGGAUUAGAUACCCUAGUAGUCC
rnacentral:rRNA from 1 species